AAUACAGAUCCUCAAGCAAUCAUGCACAGAGAUUCUAACAGUGGAGCCGUCCAGCGUCUGCGUGAACGAGACCUUUGACAUUGUUUUGAGAGGGAACGGGUUCACACUGGGGAGGCAAACCGAAGUGAUCUGCAGUUUCAUAGUGGAUGGACGGACUGACACGGUGAAGCCAACCAAGGUGAAGAAUGACUAUGU